rnacentral:RNase_P_RNA from 1 species
GGAGUCGGCCGGGCAAUCGCUGUCGCGCAAGCGGUGGAGGAAAGUCCGGGCUCCGCAGGGCAGAGUGCCAGGUAACGCCUGGGCGGCGCGAGCCGACGGAAAGUGCAACAGAGAACAGACCGCCGAACGCCUUUGCUUCGCCGUAAGGCAGGGCAGAGGGCGUGGUAAGGGUGAAACGGUGCGGUAAGAGCGCACCGCGCGACCGGCAACGGGAGCGGCACGGCAAACCCCACUUGGAGCAAGACCAAAUAGGGAAGGUGUGCACCUUCGGGUGUACGACGCGUGGCCCGCGUGCCUUCCGGGUAGGUUGCUUGAGCGUGACGGUGACGUCGCGCCUAGAGGAAUGAUUGCCGCAGGCACGCAAGUGCCUGCACAGAACCCGGCUUACAGGCCGACUCCCCAU